UAUGCCUUUAUUCUGGAAAUCUCAUAUGUUCUUUCCCUCAAUGUGGCCCUAAUACUCCGUCGUACAUUUGAACUUGGGCCCUCACAUCAUUAGACUAAAACUAUAAACUGUAUUACCUUCAUCACAAUGCUCAAAUGUUUUGCAGCUCCAGACAGAUUUUUUUUUGCAUUUUUUGAGCACACAGUGGUUACUACUAAUCAGUAGGUCAACUGCAGUGCAUGUUCUUAAUUUGGAGUUAUGUUGUUUUUAUGCUUGUUUUUACACCGAAUAAAUAAUUUGACACCUAAAUUAGAACUGAAAAAAUGCAUGUCCUCAACAUCUUUUUUUUUUAUAAUUCUUUUUAUUAACCACCCUCAACCAGAUCAAUAUGUGUUUGUGAAAGCCAACACUGAUAUGACCCAUAUUUUGCAGCAGUUCUGAGUACAGCUGUAACUAACCAUUCAUUUGGUCUAUACAAUGUCAUUAAAUAGAAAAAAAACAGCCCAAAACCCACAGAUUGUUGAUUUACUAUCACUAAUACUGUACUUACUACUGUACUAUUACAGACAGCAAAUCCUUACAGUAGAAGCUGUAACUAUAGUUCAGAAUAAAACAGAAAAAAAAUAGUUGCUGAUUGAUUUUCUGAUUUGAAUCAAUUAAUUGACAAAUCAUUUCAGCUCUAUUAUUUAGGUUUUGACAGUUUUAUUGUUAUCAGAUUGGAAAAUCAUUUGGAACUAUAUUCAACCAUCAAAAGAAACUCUCCUCUUCACUAAUGAAUAGUUUUAGGUGGGUCUCUGUGGGGCAUCUGAGGUUUUACAAAUUGUUGAAUAAAUUCCACACCACGCUGCAGACAUCUGAUACUUUAAUACAUUUAAUCAUGCAUAUUGUGUGGAAUCUGAUCAAAACGCUGCAUUCAAAUGAGGAUUAGACUGAUAUAUUGACUUGGACUGGCUGCAGUCAGGCAGGAGGUGUUUCACAUUGGCUGGCUUUCAGUUUUUAAUAACAAACUAAAUUGGCUCAUUAUUUUUUGGUUUAAAGCUAGCACACACACACACACUGUCAUCUGUUGCCUGAAACCACUGACUUUAAUUUGCCACUCGUCAUUUAUUGAUCAAAGAUAUGUUUUCUGGUCACUGAUCAGUCAUUGAUUCACUUUGUAUGCUCUUUAAGAGUCGGUGGACAAUAAGUGGGUUUGGAUUUUGGCGGGUGAUAUUGCAGGGAGUUUGAUGAACUGACAACUGUGUUUCAAGGAAAAUUGUUUACCAGUUCAUUAUUGAACAAAUGGGAACUAGACUCUUAAUAAACAGUUUGACUGUU